rnacentral:rRNA from 1 species
UCAAGCGAAUAAGUGCAUCUGGUGGAUGCCUUGGCGAUUACAGGCGAUGAAAGACGUGCAAGCCUGCGAAAAGCUGCGGGGAGCUGGCAAUGGAGCUUUGAUCCGCAGAUAUCUGAAUGGGGAAACCCACUCCGCAAGGAGUACUCCUACCUGAACACAUAGGGUAGGUAGAGCGAACCUGGCGAACUGAAACAUCUAAGUAGCCAGAGGAAAAGAAAUCAACCGAGAUUCCGCAAGUAGUGGCGAGCGAAAGCGGAACAGCCUGUAUGUGAUAGCGGUCGUGUUAGAAGAAUAACCUGGAAAGGUUAGCCAUAGUGGGUGAUAGCCCCGUAUUCGAAAACACAACCGUGGUACUAAGCAUACGAAAAGUAAGGCGGGACACGUGAAAUCCUGUUCGAAGAUGGGGGGACCAUCCUCCAAGGCUAAAUACUCGUAAUCGACCGAUAGUGAACCAGUACCGUGAGGGAAAGGCGAAAAGAACCCCGGAAGGGGAGUGAAAUAGAUCCUGAAACCGGAUGCAUACAAACAGUGGGAGCGGACUUGUUCCGUGACUGCGUACCUUUUGUAUAAUGGGUCAGCGACUUACGUUCAGUAGCAAGCUUAACCGAAUAGGGGAGGCGUAGGGAAACCGAGUCCGAAUAGGGCGUUCAGUUGCUGGGCGUAGACCCGAAACCAAGUGAUCUAUCCAUGGCCAGGUUGAAGGUGCGGUAACACGCACUGGAGGACCGAACCCACUAAUGUUGCAAAAUUAGGGGAUGAGCUGUGGAUAGGGGUGAAAGGCUAAACAAACUUGGAAAUAGCUGGUUCUCUCCGAAAACUAUUUAGGUAGUGCCUCACGUAUCACCUUCGGGGGUAGAGCACUGUUAUGGCUAGGGGGUCAUCGCGACUUACCAAACCAUUGCAAACUCCGAAUACCGAAGAGUGCGAGCGUGGGAGACAGACAUCGGGUGCUAACGUCCGGUGUCAAGAGGGAAACAACCCAGACCGCCAGCUAAGGUCCCAAAUGAUAGAUUAAGUGGUAAACGAAGUGGGAAGGCCCAGACAGCCAGGAUGUUGGCUUAGAAGCAGCCAUCAUUUAAAGAAAGCGUAAUAGCUCACUGGUCGAGUCGUCCUGCGCGGAAGAUGUAACGGGGCUCAAGCAUGUAACCGAAGCUGCGGAUUUACACGUCGUCAGUGUCGUGUAGAUGGUAGGAGAGCGUUCUGUAGGUCUGUGAAGGUGUCUUGAGAAGGAUGCUGGAGAUAUCAGAAGUGCGAAUGCUGACAUGAGUAGCGACAAUGCGGGUGAAAUUCCCGCACACCGAAAACCCAAGGUUUCCUACGCAACGUUCAUCGGCGUAGGGUGAGUCGGCCCCUAAGGCGAGGCAGAAAUGCGUAGUCGAUGGGAAACAGGUUAAAAUUCCUGUACCGAUUGUAAGUGCGAUGGGGGGACGGAGAAGGGUAGCUCAGCCAACUGUUGGAAUAGUUGGUUCAAGCGUGUAGGCAGAGAGACUAGGCAAAUCCGGUUUCUUAAUGCUGAGACGUGAUAACGAGGUGCUACGGCACUGAAGUGAGUAAUCCCAUGCUUCCAGGAAAAGCCUCUAAGCUUCAGCUCACAAUUGACCGUACCGCAAACCGACACAGGUGGGUAGGAUGAGAAUUCUAAGGCGCUUGAGAGAACUCGGGUUAAGGAACUCGGCAAAUUGACACCGUAACUUCGGGAGAAGGUGUGCCCCGGUAGGUUGUAGAGCCUCGCGCUCGAAGGCCGAUGGGGUUGCAGUGAAAUGGUGGCUGCGACUGUUUAAUAAAAACACAGCACUCUGCAAACACGAAAGUGGACGUAUAGGGUGUGACGCCUGCCCGGUGCUGGAAGAUUAAAUGAUGGGGUGCAAGCUCUUGAUUGAAGUCCCAGUAAACGGCGGCCGUAACUAUAACGGUCCUAAGGUAGCGAAAUUCCUUGUC